rnacentral:rRNA from 1 species
AUGUCGCGGCAGGGCGUGGACGAGGAGGAGGAGGAUCGGAAGCCGGUGAUCAAGCCCGGCGUGGACGUGACGCUCAAGGUGCGGAACACCGACGGCCACACCGUCUACCGCACCAUGCGGCGGACCGAGCAGCUGCAGAGCCUCAUGGACUUCUACUACGCCAGCGUGCCGGCGGUCCAGCGCGGCACGGGCCGGUUCCUGUACGACGGCGACCGGCUGCGCGGCUAG